rnacentral:rRNA from 1 species
CCUACGGGUGGCAGCAGUCGAGAAUCAUUCACAAUGGGGGAAACCCUGAUGGUGCGACGCCGCGUGGGGGAAUGAAGGUCUUCGGAUUGUAAACCCCUGUCAUGUGGGAGCAAAUUAAAAAGAUAGUACCACAAGAGGAAGAGACGGCUAACUCUGUGCCAGCAGCCGCGGGAAUACAGAGGUCUCAAGCGUUGUUCGGAAUCACUGGGCGUAAAGCGUGCGUAGGCUGUUUCGUAAGUCGUGUGUGAAAGGCGCGGGCUCAACCCGCGGAAGGCACAUGAGACUGCGAGACUAGAGUAAUGGAGGGGGAACCGGAAUUCUCGGUGUAGCAGUGAAAUGCGUAGAUAUCGAGAGGAACACUCGGGGCGAAGGCGGGUUCCUGGACAUUAACUGACGCUGAGGCACGAAGGCCAGGGGAGCGAAAGGGAUUAGAUACCCCAGUAGUC